CGCACCUUUUACCAGUAGAUGGCACUGUGGUUGUUUCCAAGAGGCAGCGGAGGCUUUGGAGAAAGAAAAUGUCCAAAUGGCUGUAACAGCUGCACUCGGAACCUGCAGGGAGCAUUCAAAAGCGUUAACCCCUGAGUGGACACCGGACGAGCACCAUACGCCUUAAAAUUGUUGUUGAGCCAAUGCAUAAUCGAUUGGAUGGAUAAAUGAAUUUUGGAUUUGGCGGA